UUGAACGCUGGCGGCAUGCUUUACACAUGCAAGUCGGACGGCAGCACAGAGAAGCUUGCUUCUCGGGUGGCGAGUGGCGAACGGGUGAGUAACAUAUCGGAACGUACCGAGUAGUGGGGGAUAACUGAUCGAAAGAUUAGCUAAUACCGCAUACGUCUUGAGAGAGAAAGCAGGGGACCUUUGGGCCUUGCGCUAUUCGAGCGGCCGAUAUCUGAUUAGCUAGUUGGUGGGGUAAAGGCCUACCAAGGCGACGAUCAGUAGCGGGUCUGAGAGGAUGAUCCGCCACACUGGGACUGAGACACGGCCCAGACUCCUACGGGAGGCAGCAGUGGGGAAUUUUGGACAAUGGGCGCAAGCCUGAUCCAGCCAUGCCGCGUGUCUGAAGAAGGCCUUCGGGUUGUAAAGGACUUUUGUCAGGGAAGAAAAGGCUGUUGCUAAUAUCAGCGGCUGAUGACGGUACCUGAAGAAUAAGCACCGGCUAACUACGUGCCAGCAGCCGCGGUAAUACGUAGGGUGCGAGCGUUAAUCGGAAUUACUGGGCGUAAAGCGGGCGCAGACGGUUACUUAAGCAGGAUGUGAAAUCCCCGGGCUCAACCCGGGAACUGCGUUCUGAACUGGGUGACUCGAGUGUGUCAGAGGGAGGUAGAAUUCCACGUGUAGCAGUGAAAUGCGUAGAGAUGUGGAGGAAUACCGAUGGCGAAGGCAGCCUCCUGGGAUAACACUGACGUUCAUGCCCGAAAGCGUGGGUAGCAAACAGGAUUAGAUACCCUGGUAGUCCACGCCCUAAACGAUGUCAAUUAGCUGUUGGGCAACUUGAUUGCUUAGUAGCGUAGCUAACGCGUGAAAUUGACCGCCUGGGGAGUACGGUCGCAAGAUUAAAACUCAAAGGAAUUGACGGGGACCCGCACAAGCGGUGGAUGAUGUGGAUUAAUUCGAUGCAACGCGAAGAACCUUACCUGGUCUUGACAUGUACGGAAUCCUCCAGAGACGGAGGAGUGCCUUCGGGAGCCGUAACACAGGUGCUGCAUGGCUGUCGUCAGCUCGUGUCGUGAGAUGUUGGGUUAAGUCCCGCAACGAGCGCAACCCUUGUCAUUAGUUGCCAUCAUUCAGUUGGGCACUCUAAUGAGACUGCCGGUGACAAGCCGGAGGAAGGUGGGGAUGACGUCAAGUCCUCAUGGCCCUUAUGACCAGGGCUUCACACGUCAUACAAUGGUCGGUACAGAGGGUAGCCAAGCCGCGAGGCGGAGCCAAUCUCACAAAACCGAUCGUAGUCCGGAUUGCACUCUGCAACUCGAGUGCAUGAAGUCGGAAUCGCUAGUAAUCGCAGGUCAGCAUACUGCGGUGAAUACGUUCCCGGGUCUUGUACACACCGCCCGUCACACCAUGGGAGUGGGGGAUACCAGAAGUAGGUAGGGUAACCGCAAGGAGUCCGCUUACCACGGUAUGCUUCAUGACUGGGGUGAAGUCGUAA
rnacentral:rRNA from 1 species